GGAGAAAAGGAUAGCCAACUGAAAUCAAAAUCUUCCAAAUCCAAACCUAUUCCUGAAAAGUCAGUGAACUGCGGGUCGUCUUUGCCCGAUGCAACAACCAGUGCAAAACGCAACAAGCCCAGUCCGUCAUCUCCCAUGACUUAUCACGAGAAGGAGAAGCUGAAACUGGACGUUUACAUUCUGGCUCGUGACCAAAUAGGAGAGUUAUUCAAGAUCAUUUAUUCUAUGGAGCCAUCUCUGCAAAGUUCCAAUUUGGAGGAGUUAGAUGUGGACUUUGAUAUGCUCCAGAACUCCACACUGAGAGCCCUGCAGAGCAUUGUAGCAGCAACUCUGAAGAGGGCAAAUACUGACCAGGCCACCAAAGUCGCCGCCAGUGCCGGCUCCCUGCACCAGUUCGCCAACUCUUCUGCCAGUGCCGGCCCUUCCCACCAGUUCGCCAACCCUUCUGCCAGUGCCGGCCCUCCGCACUGGGCCGCCAACGUCGCCGCCAGUGCCGGCCCUCCGCACUGGGCGCCACGUCGCCGCCAGUGCGGCCCUCCGCACUGGGCCGCCAACGUCGCCGCCAGUGCCGCCCCUCCGCACUGGGCCGCCAACGUCGCCGCCAGUGCCGGCCCUCCGCACCUGGCCGCAUACGUCGCCGCCAGUGCCCGGUCCUCCGCACCAGGCCGCCCAACUUCGCCGCCAGUGC
rnacentral:lncRNA from 1 species